GGGGUGAAAUCCUGCAGCUUAACUGUAGGACUGCCAUGGAUACUGAUAUUCUUGAAUAUAGUUGAGGUGGGCGGAAUGUGUAAUGUAGCGGUGAAAUGCUUAGAUAUUACACAGAACACCAAUUGCGAAGGCAGCUCACUAAACUAAUAUUGACGCUGAGGCACGAAAGCGUGGGUAGCAAACAGGAUUAGAUACCCUGGUAGUCCACGCUGUAAACUAUGAUCACUCGCUGUUGGCAAUACAUCGUCAGCGGCUGAGCGAAAGCAUUAAGUGAUCCACCUGGGGAGUACGGUCGCAAGAUUGAAACUCAAAGGAAUUGACGGGGGCCCGCACAAGCGGAGGAACAUGUGGUUUAAUUCGAUGAUACGCGAGGAACCUUUACCUGGGCUUAAAUGCAGAGCGACGUCCGCCGAAAGGUGGAUUCCUUCGGGCGAUCUGCAAGGUGCUGCAUGGUUGUCGUCAGCUCGUGCCGUGAGGUGUCGGGUUAAGUCCCAUAACGAGCGCAACCCUUAUCGUUAGUUGCCAGCGGGUAAUGCCGGGGACUCUAACGAAACUGCCGGUGUAAACCGUGAGGAAGGUGGGGAUGACGUCAAAUCAGCACGGCCCUUAUGUCCAGGGCUACACACGGUGUUACAAUGGUCGGUACAGAGGGCAGCUACCACGCAAGUGGAUGCUAAUCUCGAAAACCGUUCUCAGUUCGGAUUGAAGUCUGCAACUCGACUUCAUGAAGCUGGAUUCGCUAGUAAUCGCGCAUCAGCCAUGGCGCGGUGAUACGUUCCCGGGCAUUGUACACACCGCCCGUCAAGCC
rnacentral:rRNA from 1 species